rnacentral:tRNA from 1 species
GCCACUGUGGCGGAACUGGCAGACGCGCAGCGUUCAGGUCGCUGUUCGGUUUAUCCGAGUACAGGUUCGAUUCCUGCCAGUGGCA